GAUGAAGAACGCAGCGAAAUGCGAUACUUGGUGUGAAUUGCGGAAUCCCGUGAACCAUCGAGUCUUUGAACGCAAGUUGCGCCCGAAGCCAUUAGGCCGAGGGCACGCCUGCCUGGGCGUCACACGUCGUUGCCCCCCCAUCUACUCCUUCGGGAUUGCGGGGGGCGGAUGAUGGCCUCCCGUGCGCCUCGUCGCGCGGUUGGCAUAAAUGCCAAGUCCUCGGCGACACACGCCACGACAAUCGGUGGUUGCGAAACCUCGGUUGCCCGUCGUGUGCGGUCGUCGCGCAUCGAGGGCUCGAAAAAAUUGCCGGGCUCCGGCUCGGCUUUCAACGCGACCCCAGGUCAGGCGGGGUUACCCGCUGAAUUUAAGCAUAUCAAUAAGCGGAGGA
rnacentral:misc_RNA from 1 species